UGCUGGGAUAAGUAGUUCCCCUAAACCGCGAAGCGCUGGGUCAGAUUGGAGCUGAGGUUGGCUCCCCGGAAGAAAACUACGAUUCCCAUGGUGCCAUGCGACAGAGUGGAAGGGGCGGGACGGGCAAGGGCGCAACGCGCUUGCGCAGGUCGAGGGCCGGAGGGAGGCGGAGGCGCUGUGGUCCAACUGCUGAGGAGUCUCCAUGUGACAGUGAGCGGCGUCCCGGCUCCAGGCGACGCCAGACUCUGGUUCCCGACCCCAAGCUCCGUCCACUGUCCCGGCGCCAGCAGACACCGGCAGGCCGGGGGCCCGCGGUGUUGUCCGGAGGCCGCCGGCGCAGAGUGAGUAGCCGCCGCCGGGCAGGUGCCUGAGGGACCGCCUAGACCCCGACGUCUCCCGAGAGGCGAGCGGCGCGGCGAGCGGGGCUUCUGUCAGCGCGGCGCCGCGAGCGUGGGGACAUGAAUGGCUUCACGCCCGAGGACAUGAGCCGCGGCGGGGACGCGGCCGCCGCCGUGGCCGCCGUGGUCGCCGCUGCCGCCGCCGCCGCCGCCGCCUCGGCCGGGAACGGGGCCGGAGCGGGCGCCGGGGCCGAGGUGCCGGGCGCCGGGGGGGUCUCGGCGGCGGGGCCCCCGGGAGCGGCCGGGCCGGGCCCGGGGCAGCUGUGCUGUCUGCGCGAGGACGGCGAGCGGUGCGGCCGGGCGGCGGGCAACGCCAGCUUCAGCAAGAGGAUCCAGAAGAGCAUCUCCCAGAAGAAGGUGAAGAUCGAGCUGGAUAAGAGCGCAAGGCAUCUUUACAUUUGUGAUUAUCAUAAAAACUUAAUUCAGAGCGUUCGAAACAGAAGAAAGAGAAAAGGGAGUGAUGAUGAUGGAGGAGAUUCACCUGUUCAAGAUAUUGAUACUCCAGAGGUUGAUUUAUACCAAUUACAGGUGAAUACACUUAGGAGAUACAAAAGACACUUCAAACUCCCAACCAGACCAGGACUUAAUAAAGCCCAGCUUGUGGAGGUGAAUAAAGUACAAAGAGAGUGAGUGGGAGGACUUUUGCCACAAGAGCAGCAAAGACCAAGAAGGCUUAAAUCCUUUUGGAGUCGCUGAGGGUAGGGUUUGGAGAGAAGCAGCAGCUGGUUUCAACCUUCGCAGGCCCCUCCCAGGAGAGAAGGAGGACCUGUUUUAUCUGGAGAAGCAGCAAGACGGAACAAGACAUUGACCCCCUAGAUCUUCUUGCCUUCUUCCCCGAAUACUCUCAAUUAUGCCAGUACAGGUAGCCUGUUCUUAUUCCUGUUUCACCGACGGACAAGGCAUCGUACUCCCUGGCUGAGGAUGGCCCAACACUGGAAGGAGGACAAGGCUGAGAGGAGCACAAAGAGGAGAGAGACCCUGACAUUCUCACCCAAGCCCACUCUGCUCUGGUCUCCAAACUAUGCAGAUUAAUCGAUGUCCUUCUUGGGGAUUGAACCCGUGUCCCCUGCAGUGGAAGUGCAGAGUCUUAACCACUGGAUCACCAGCGAAGUUCCUCAGAUUAUACUGCUGAACUAGGUAAGAAAUUAAAAACCCUAAUGGAAAUCCUGAUGGCUUCAUAAAAAGUUAACAAAAGGAUUGGUUACUAAGUGAACUGGUGAAUAUGGUUAUAAUGUUUAUGGGUUUUGUCUGGAAAAUUACUGAUUUUGAUUUGUGUUUUCCAGAUAUAGGGAAGCACUUCCCCUCCAGUUACUCAUGACUUAACAGCAAUUUGGUAAAUUAUACCUUGCUGAGUAGAACUGAAAUAUUUUUCUUUUCUCUCUGGCUGGUCCCUCCAGAAACUGGAGAUCCUUGGGUUCUGAGCAGCCUUAUCAGGUGAAUGGGAAAGACUGUCUGUCUCCUGGCAUGUACAGGAAUCUUGAUAUUUUGGGGACCAAGAAUGCCACCGAGGCAGAAUCUGAUGGCAGGCCUUUGGCAUGGAUUUCCUGGCCUUGAGAGGCCUUUGGGAAUUCAGUCUAAGACUCCUGAGGAGUUCCACCACAGGCAGUUUGGGAAAGCCUAUGUAGUCAACUGACCAGACUUAAUUUACGUGUUUGUGGAGAACACUGCCUGCUUUAAGUCUACUGCUAAAAGCACAUGUACAAUGCUUGUGUGGCAAUUGGGUAUAAGUAAUAAAAUGUAUGGCCUAUAAAGUGUAUACCCAUUAACAUACCUCUGAGCCUGUUCACAAUAUUUGAUCAGUUUUCCCCCAUCAUGAAUAUCUAGGCAAAUAUAAAGGAGGCCUAGCACCAAGGGACAUGAUCUAGACCUGGGGCAAGAAGCUAAAUCACCCUGGCAUCAAGGGACAUGUUUUGGUCUGUUGAAGAAUUUGCAAUUAACAAGGGAGACGAUGGGAAAUCUACAUAUUUUGAGGUCUGGGUAAGUCAUUCUAGCUGAUACAUGAUUUCUUAAACUUAUACUGACCAGAGCAGCCUGUUUUGUGGCCUUUCGGACAUGCAUUGUACAUCUGCCUUGGCCACGGAGGAGUGCAAUACAUUUGAAAGUCAAAACUGGAGAUGUGGUUCAGACGUUCAAGGUAAAACUAGGUGGCCAUUGUGCGUGUGAUUUCAGGCACAUUCCUAUAUUGCUGAAAACUUGAAUUUUCUGAGCUCUGUCCUACUCGGGAUGCCACCAGCCAUUCUCAAAGCAGUGUCUGCUGGCAGACGGCAGCUGCAACCUUAUGACCUCAGGGUCUCCUCUUGUAACUAUUAUAAACUCUUGGACAGCAAAAUUGCUUUAGAUGUCAGCAGAAAAAGGAUACGUGCAGUGGUCAAUUGCUCCUGUUAUAUAUGUUAAUACCACAUCAGAAGUUAAAACCUACUUAGAUAAAAGCACACAACUGGCUACCUGGCUACAAGUCUCCCCCAAAGUGCCAGGUCCAGACUGGUUUUCAGGCUUAUUCUCCUAAAUUCCUCAGGGAAUGAGAUUUUUAUUAUACAAGACUCAGAUCCAGGACUUGGAACUUGAGAAUAUUUCCAGCUCUGUGUCCAUUCCCCAAAUCAAGGUAGGACUACGUUCCAUUUCAGCAGGAAGUGGUCAGAGUGGUAAUCACCCCAUUCCCUGAAAGAACUGGGUAAGGAUGAAACGGGAUUGGAGUUUGAAACCAAAUCGCUGUGAAACGGAGUUCCUCUGCUGAGUUUAUGAUUAACCUCUCUAUCCAAAACACUGUUCCCCUCUUGUUGUCCAACACCUUCUCCUCAAGAUUGAGGAGUAUCAAAGAAAAGGGAAGAAUUGUAAUAUGGAGGAACAAAUCUGACUCCAUAUUAGAUCUGCUCCUUUUACUUUAACC